AUUGAACGCUGGCGGCAGGCCUAACACAUGCAAGUCGAACGAGUGGCGGACGUGUGCGUAAUGUCUGGGAAACUGCCUGAUGGAUGGGGAUAACUACUGGCAACGGUAGCUAAUACCGCAUACCCUCGGCUUUGCCCAGAUGGGAUUAGCUAGUAGGUGGGGUAACGGCUCACCUAGGCGACGAUCCCUAGCUGGUCUGUGAGGAUGACCAGCCAGACGGGAACGGAGACACGGUCCAGACUACUACGGGAGGCAGCAGUGGGGAAUAUUGCACAAGGGGCGCAAGACUGAUGCAGCCAUGCAGGGUGUAUGAAGAAGGCCUUCGGGGUGUAAAGCACUUUCAGCGGGGAGGAGUUACCCGAAGAAGAAGCACCGGCUAACUCCGUGCCAGCAGCCGCGGUAAUAC
rnacentral:rRNA from 1 species